UGGCGGCGCGGGGGGCGGUGUCGGCUAGGGGUUGGAGCCCGUCCUGAGGAAAACUGGGCCACGCACCAAGAGGAAUCCUCGAUAUCGCGCUGGAUCUUGGCUGGUCCCGGCGUCUCGCGUCUGGAGUGCCUGUUAGCGAGGCUACAACGUUGAGGGGAAACGAGUGGAAUAUGGAGUCCAAGCCACACAGACCCGCACACCGUGAGGAAGCGUCUGGAACGCCGAGUGCCGGGAAUACCACCCGCGGUAGCCACGCGAGAAUCCGCGUUCUACCUGCCUCUGCCCCCUGUUGUGCUCAUUUAAUCGUUGAUCUAAAUGAAGGAGGCAGCCCCGGU